rnacentral:rRNA from 1 species
GACGAACGCUGGCGGCGUGCUUAACACAUGCAAGUCGAACGGAAAGGCCCUGCUUUUGUGGGGUGCUCGAGUGGCGAACGGGUGAGUAACACGUGAGUAACCUGCCCUUGACUUUGGGAUAACUUCAGGAAACUGGGGCUAAUACCGGAUAGGAGCUCCUGCUGCAUGGUGGGGGUUGGAAAGUUUCGGCGGUUGGGGAUGGACUCGCGGCUUAUCAGCUUGUUGGUGGGGUAGUGGCUUACCAAGGCUUUGACGGGUAGCCGGCCUGAGAGGGUGACCGGCCACAUUGGUACUGAGAUACGGACCAGACUCCUACGGGAGGCAGCAGUGGGGAAUAUGGCACAAUGGGCGGAAGCCUGAUGCAGCAACGCCGCGUGCGGGAUGACGGCCUUCGGGUUGUAAACCGCUUUCGCCUGUGACGAAGCGUGAGUGACGGUAAUGGGUAAAGAAGCACCGGCUAACUACGUG